rnacentral:rRNA from 1 species
UACGGAGGGUGCAAGCGUUAUCCGGAUUCACUGGGUUUAAAGGGUGCGUAGGUGGGGCGGUAAGUCAGUGGUGAAAUCUCCGAGCUUAACUUGGAAACUGCCAUUGAUACUAUCAGUCUUGAAUAUUGUGGAGGUUAGCGGAAUAUGUCAUGUAGCGGUGAAAUGCUUAGAUAUGACAUAGAACACCAAUUGCGAAGGCAGCUGGCUACGCAUAUAUUGACACUGAGGCACGAAAGCGUGGGGAUCAAACAGG